rnacentral:rRNA from 1 species
CAGCCGCCACGGGAAUACGUAGGGUGCAAGCGUUAAUCGGAAUUACUGGGCGUAAAGCGUGCGUAGGCGGUUUGUUAAGUCUGCUGUGAAAUCCCCGGGCUCAACCUGGGAAUGGCAGUGGAUACUGGCAAGCUAGAGUGUGUCAGAGGAUGGUGGAAUUCCCGGUGUAGCGGUGAAAUGCGUAGAGAUCGGGAGGAACAUCAGUGGCGAAGGCGGCCAUCUGGGACAACACUGACGCUGAGGCACGAAAGCGUGGGGAGCAAACAGGACUAGAUACCCCAGUAGUCCCUGUCUCUUAUAC